GUAAUACUCCCUCCGUCUCAAAAAUUUUGUCUUAGAUUUGUAUAGAAAUGAAUGUAUCUAAAUACUAAGACGUGACUAGAUACAUUCAUAUCUGAAUAAAUCUAAGACAAAAAUUUUAAGAUGAAGGGAGUACGAG
rfam:Hordeum vulgare subsp. vulgare, WGS project CAJW01000000 data, contig: morex_contig_58395